rnacentral:rRNA from 1 species
GAUGAACGCUGGCGGCGUGCCUAAUACAUGCAAGUCGAGCGAACAGACGAGAGUGCUUGCACUCUCUGACGUUAGCGGCGGACGGGUGAGUAACACGUGGGUAACCUGCCUAUAAGACUGGGAUAACUUCGGGAAACCGGAGCUAAUACCGGAUAAUAUUUAGCUUCGCAUGAAGCAAUAGUGAAAGACGGUUCUGCUGUCACUUAUAGAUGGACCCGCGGUGUAUUAGCUAGUUGGUGAGGUAACGGCUCACCAAGGCAACGAUACAUAGCCGACCUGAGAGGGUGAUCGGCCACACUGGGACUGAGACACGGCCCAGACUCCUACGGGAGGCAGCAGUAGGGAAUCUUCCGCAAUGGACGAAAGUCUGACGGAGCAAUGCCGCGUGAGUGAAGAAGGUUUUCGGAUCGUAAAACUCUGUUGUAAGGGAAGAACAAGUACGUUAGUAACUGAACGUACCUUGACGGUACCUUACCAGAAAGCCACGGCUAACUACGUG